rnacentral:rRNA from 1 species
GACGGAGGAUGCAAGCGUUAUCCGGAAUGAUUGGGCGUAAAGCGUCUGCAGGUGGCAGUUCAAGUCUGCUGUCAAAGACCGGGGCUUAACUUCGGAAAGGCAGUGGAAACUGAACAGCUAGAGUAUGGUAGGGGCAGAGGGAAUUCCGGGUGUAGUGGUGAAAUGCGUAGAGAUCCGGAGGAACCCCAGAGGCGAAGGCGGCGUCCUGGCUCGCAUCUGACGCUCAGACACGACAGCAUGGGGAGCGAACGGGA